rnacentral:tRNA from 1 species
GCCUGGGUGGCUCAGUCGGUUGAGCAUCCGACUUCGGCUCAGGUCAUAAUCUCACAGGUUGUGGGUUCGAGCCCCGCGUCGGGCU